UAUGAGGAAACGGGAGCAAUAUGACGGGAGCAUUGCUGAGUCACAUCCCGUCUGUCCUCGUUAGGCUACUUCUCCAAAUCAGUAUUUCAUCGCCAGAAAAGAUCCACUACAUUGACGCAUUUGGAGUUGGCUAAAGACAAAAGAAAAAGUAGCAGCCUUCGUAUCUAACCGACCUGUACAGAUGGAUUGAGGAGUGUGGAAGAUCACUGCUAGUCCUGGUUGUUUCAGGGCCACAAACGUAAGCACGACGAAGCCAAGGAGGAGGAAGACGCCGACGACGUGGAGGAGAAGCAGGAAGGGAAGGACUCCAACGAGGAAGAGGAGGGCAGCAGCUCGGAGGCCGGCGAGAUGCUGGCCGCCUUGGAGGCAGAACUCAAUGACUUUAUGUGAGGAAGCCGAGGGAACCGGGCAGAGACAACAAAACCCAACCCCAGUCGGCCCCACAUGUGGUACCUAAAAACUUAUUUUUCUGCUUUGGAACCUGUGUGUUAUUAGGAUGUAUGAGCCAUGAAUGUGUGCUGUAAUAAACAAUGUAUGUCCUGUACAGAAAUGACACGUUGCUGUGUAAAUAAAGGCUUAGAUUGUUGUAGCAUUGAUAUAUCGCCUUUUUGGCAUAAAGCGUUUGAUGUUAACAUUUUAUUGUAAGAUAACUAACUGUAGGAGACGUGAAAUUUGAUACUUUUUGGUUUUUCUAUUUCAAUUUUUAUAUUGAUGAGAAAAAGGUGAGUGAAAUCAUAAACUGUAAAUUUUGCUGAUUGUACAUGCCAAAGAGUUUGGAAUAGGUUUGCCAAGGUGUGCAGCUAAAGAUUUUACUCUCGACUUCCAGUUUUAUUUUUUUCUUUCGUCCUCCUCGACAGGUUUUUUUAGUGUCAUAAGUGCAACCAGCAGAUCUAGACGUUUGAAUGUGUCUCUUCCAGUCGUUUGUUCCUCCUCAUCGUGUUUGUACAUUUGACAACAUAAUAAUAGGAUAAGCUGUUCGGUUUUAUCGUCACGUGGCUCACUUCUCCUCUCCUCGAGCCACUCCGAUUGUUGAUCUCACACUUAGAGAGGACACUUCUGCUCGGCCUCCGCUCACAUACACUGGAGCUCGCCAAACUCUGCUUUCUUAAACGUUUAUGUCAGCAAGUUUACCAAAAAAAUAAAUAAACAAAUUUUUUCCUUCCUCCCGCUUUACCUUCUGCAUUGUCUGGCCUUGCGGAUUUGCAGUUUUUGAUUUAUGUCUAUCAAAUAAAAUCAAAAAUCACAUGACCUGAAAUCACAUCACAGUUUAUUGUUAUUUUGCUGUACAUAGUUUCUUCAUGAUCCAUUGACUAAAAGCAACUAAAUAAAGAAUUGUGUGCACGUCAGGAUCAGUUCAGCGUUCUGACAGGUCGUGGAGUGAAGCUGUUGAUCAGUCUGGAGGUUCUUCCUUCAGCGUUCUGGAAACGUUCGCCUGAUGGCAGCGGUUCAGAGAGUUUAUGGAGAGGAUGUGAGCUUCUGAGGAAGAGUUUAGUUUGUACCCACAGAGCACAAAAUCCUGUAUUUUUAAAAAAUGAAUCCAACAUUUUGGGAAAUAUGCUGAGAGUUAAAUGAGUAUAAAGGAAAUACUGGAAAAAUGGGGGGAAAAAAUCUGCUUUUCCUGGCUUCUGAAAUCUGAGAAUUACACACUUGUCCUCUUAACUGCUUAUAUGAUAGUAAACUGAAAACCUCAUCAGCCGUGUUCAGACAAAAUAUUUAAGCAAUUUUAAAAGGCACCUUGACUGGUUUUUUUCCCCCUGAUUUCUUUUUCUCGUUAAUUAAAAAUGAAUGUGAGUAUUCUCUGAGAACACGGUUGUAAAAUACCUCGUUCUAGAGGUAGCGUGGUCUGGGGUGUAUUUUCAGCAGCACAGUCACUGAAUGAUCAUAGAAAUAUUAAAAGGACAUCAUAGGAGUCCUGCUGGCAGCCUUUAUCAUCAUCUUCCAUCGCUGCACGUUGCUACUUGUUGCUUUUAAAUGACAGCCUAUAGGUGUGACAGACAUACAGUAGAUGUGUUGGUGCACGUUAUUGACAGGCGUGAGAGGAUCUGCUCCCUCUGAUGUGUGUGAACCAGAAGUCACAACUGAACCUAUUGGCCACAAUGUCUCUGUAAAUUAUUUAUGAUUUAGUCAGAAUGCUGCUUUGUCGCUUUUCCCUCAUGACCUGCCGCGACCCAUAAUAGUUUUUAUUCAGCGACCCAAACCUGCCGAACCAGUGCGCUACGGGUCGACCCACCGUGGUUCAAUCCUGCAAAGUGAAGAUUUGAUUAAAUGAAAUUCUAACAACUUUUUGACUUUAUAAUCUCAGAAAAGAGAGAUUGGGGGUAUUUCAUAUUUCAAAUCUGUUACUUUUUUCUUUAAUCUCAAAAAGUCUACGUUUUUUAAAUUGUUUUUUUUUAUAAUAGCACUCCCAUCACUUCCGCUGGCUCCAUAACAGUAACCUUCAACAAGAUGCUGCAUAGUGCGGCUUUAUCAGAAGAAUCUUAUUACUUUUGGCCCAAGCAAGGCUUUUCAUUUCUCCCAUCAGUCUUUGUGCUAAGCUAAACUAACGGGCUACUCGCUGACAGGUCUCUGCAAGAAAGAGAAAAAGCAUAUUUCCCAAAAAUCUGAAGCAUUCAUUUAAUGAAAUAUCUACAGGAAAAUAAAGGAAACCCAGAGGCCCUGGUUCUGGACCAGCACGGCUGAACUCAUUAAGUCGGAUUUCAUGAUUGUAUGGUUUAACUUUGAAUUCGGUCGUUAUUAAUCUGUUGGAAGGUUUUAUUCAUUCUCUCUUCUUUUAAAUCAGUUUUUAUAUUAGCACCAUUUUUACAGCCUAACAUGCACCAUGACUGCAGAACAUACAAACACAUGGAGGAACACUGCAAACUGCACAAAACACGAGAAGAACAUUUCUAGGACGCAUACAUCAACUUGCCUGAGAUAUUAGAAAAUUGUUUGUUUUAUUUUAAACACUGAUUUACAAAUUAGCAACAUUAGUCACAGACCUCCCCGAAAGCUGAGCUCUGAUCUUGUGUACCGCUGUUUGACUGUUUUUUUGUAUUUGCUGCACAUCUCUGUUUACUGCACGUGUUGUCACUUUGUGAAUUAGUCAUUUCUUUGUCAGUGCUGAAGAGGUUUUGUUCUGUUGCUCAUGCUGUGUUUGUUUGUUAAUGCUGGGUGCUGUGUUGAACUCUUUCCGCCACCAAACAGAACAAACUCUACAAAACUCCAUUCCGGCCGAUGAUUUAACUCCCAGAAACUCCCAAACACCUCCGUGUAUCAAAGUUAGAAAGAAAAGGCCGAGCUGUGACUCUGUACCGUUGCCAUCUCUGUAUUGCACAGAUCUAUGAAGCCCCUGCCUCUCUGUCUACCUUCCUCCUUCCCACUCACGGCAGCUCUAGCACACCAGCUCACCUCUUGACUCUGCUCAAACACUGUAAAACUGUUCAAGAUCACAUCAUGGAAAGUUUUAAUGUUGGAAUAAUUCAGCUGCACAGGUUUGAAUCAGAAACCAAUUCUGUAAAACAAUGAAGAUACAGAAAGUCCCACCCUGCACCCCCAGGAUCGGCUCUGCAGGUUUAACAGCCUCUGAAGUCUGAAUCUGUGUUUUUCAUUAGUCCACUCAGCCAUGGUGCUGACUGCAUGUUUCACUCUUGGAGUGUCUUCCAGCAUUUUAAAAAAACACCAUAUGGACAUGUUAACAAGGUAAAAAAUAAAACUAAAAACUUGAUUUUCGCUGGCGGGGAUCUUUAAUAAUUCAUCUAGAGCAGUUUUCUCCUGAAAAUGUCCUCAUUAGUGGGAUAAUCCAAAAAAUCUCUCCAUCAACAAUUUUUGUAAGGACUGCUGUAUUUUUUAUUUUUUUAUUUUUCCACCUCUGUUGUUUUGGGGACAAGGCAGAAAUCUCACAAACACACCCAAAAAAAAAAAAAAAACAACAGCAGCAUGAGGUACAGUUCAGGUAAAAUGUCCUUUUAAACUGCAAGUAGUUUGUACAAUUAGAGAAUGAAAUUGUUCUUAAUUCAACCUUGCUGACACCAGGGCUGGGAGCAGUGAGCAGAUAAAGCAGCGCUCAAACUGGUGUGACUGGUAAAAUGUGACUGUGUUGUUUGCACUCAACUGACAUCCCAUAUUACACGAUUUGAUGCUGCACAGCCGCCAUGCAAAGGUGUGGCGUGUGACUAAUGGGGCGUAUGUGACAGCAGGGUUGCUUACACUCACCCCUGAUGUUUAACAUCUGCUUUGAUUCAAAUCCACAGCGUUUAGUCUCUGUCUUUCCUUAACCGCUGAACUUUUGCCAGCGACAGAUCUUCCUCCUUCUGCAUUUAAGCUGCAGAACUAAAUAAUUGUAACUACUGACCUAAAGCUAGAGGGCUGACAUCAGUGUGGAUAUCUGACCUGUAGAUGUUUUUACCAAUAACCAAUUUACCAAUCUUUUCAAAAACAUGAACAAUAUUUUCCUUAUACGGUGACAUCCAUCCUGUUUGUGUCGUGCUGUUUUUUUUAUCAUUAAUUUCAAUCAAACAACUGACAUGUAAAGUAUUUGUAAAGUCUAUUUCCUACCUGACCCAGAGACAAAUGAUACUUUCAUUAAAUAAACAGUUUUACAGUAA